UCCGACCCAAAUAUUUUACCUGUUUUAUCUUCAAAUUGGCCAGAUCUGGCUUCUCCUAUUUACCCUACAAUGUUAUUCUAAAAAUAAACUAUCAUCUCAUUGAAAUCUGGAAACUAUGGAUAAUGCAUGAUUAAUUCAAAACAA